rnacentral:rRNA from 1 species
GAUGAACGCUGGCGGCGUGCCUAAUACAUGCAAGUCGAGCGAAUGGAUUAAGAGCUUGCUCUUAUGAAGUUAGCGGCGGACGGGUGAGUAACACGUGGGUAACCUGCCCAUAAGACUGGGAUAACUCCGGGAAACCGGGGCUAAUACCGGAUAACAUUUUGAACCGCAUGGUUCGAAAUUGAAAGGCGGCUUCGGCUGUCACUUAUGGAUGGACCCGCGUCGCAUUAGCUAGUUGGUGAGGUAACGGCUCACCAAGGCAACGAUGCGUAGCCGACCUGAGAGGGUGGUAGGCCACACUGGGACUGAGACACGGCCCAGACUCCUACGGGAGGCAGCAGUAGGGAAUCUUCCGCAAUGGACGAAAGUCUGACGGAGCAGCGCCGCGUGAGUGAUGAAGGCUUUCGGGUCGUAAAACUCUGUUGUUAGGGAAGAACAAGUGCUAGUUGAAUAAGCUGGCACCUUGACGGUACCUAACCAGAAAGCCACGGCUAACUACGUGCCAGCCGCCGCCGUAA